GUGCCAGCAGCCGCGGUAAUACGUAGGUGGCAAGCGUUGUCCGGAUUUAUUGGGCGUAAAGCGAGCGCAGGCGGUCAAUUAAGUCUGAUGUGAAAGCCCCCGGCUCAACCGGGGAGGGUCAUUGGAAACUGGUUGACUUGAGUGCAGAAGAGGAGAGUGGAAUUCCAUGUGUAGCGGUGAAAUGCGUAGGUAUAUGGAGGAACACCAGUGGCGAAGGCGACUCUCUGGUCUGUAACUGACGCUGAGGCUCGAAAGCGUGGGUAGCAAACAGGAUUAGAUACCCCAGUAGUCC
rnacentral:rRNA from 1 species